GUAGGUGGCAAGCGUUGUCCGGAAUUAUUGGGCGUAAAGCGCGCGCAGGCGGUCCUUUAAGUCUGAUGUGAAAGCCCACGGCUCAACCGUGGAGGGUCAUUGGAAACUGGAGGACUUGAGUACAGAAGAGGAAAGCGGAAUUCCACGUGUAGCGGUGAAAUGCGUAGAGAUGUGGAGGAACACCAGUGGCGAAGGCGGCUUUCUGGUCUGUAACUGACGCUGAGGCGCGAAAGCGUGGGGGAGCAAACAGGAUUAGAUACCCUGGUAGUCCACGCCGUAAACGAUGAGUGCUAAGUGUUAGGGGGUUUCCGCCCCUUAGUGCUGCGGCUAACGCAUUAAGCACUCCGCCUGGGAGUACGGCCGCAAGGCUG
rnacentral:rRNA from 1 species